UGAGUACGAGAUGCUACGGCAUCGAAGCAGUCUAUGUCAUACUUCCAAGAAAAGCUUGCACUGUCAGAAACAGAUAAUGCCUGUACCAUAACCGACACAGGUGGGUAGGUAGAGUAUACUAAGGGGCGCGUGAUAACUCUCUCUAAGGAACUCGGCAAAAUGACUCCGUAACUUCGGGAGAAGGAGUGCCUUAUUUUUAAGGUUGCAAUAACAAGAUCCAAGCAACUGUUUACCAAAAACACAGGUCUCCGCUAAGUCGUAAGACGAUGUAUGGGGGCUGACGCCUGCCCAGUGCCAGAAGGUUAAAGAAGUCGGUUAGCAUUCGCGAAGCUGGUAACUGAAGCCCUGGUGAACGGCGGCCGUAACAAUAACGGUCCUAAGGUAGCGAAAUUCCUUGUCGGGUAAGUUCCGACCCGCACGAAAGGCGUAAUGAUUUGGAUACUGUCUCGGAGAGGGGCUCGGUGAAAUAGACUUGUCUGUGAAGAUGCGGACUACCUGCACCUGGACAGAAAGACCCUAUGAAGCUUUACUGUAACUUGAAAUUGAAAUUGGACUUUAUUUGCGCAGUAUAGGUGGGAGGCGUUGAAAAUAUUCUUGCGGGAAUAUUGGAGCCAUCAGUGAGAUACCACUCUUGUAAUGUUAGAUUUCUAACUUUAUAUCAUUAUCUGGUUAAAGAACAGUUUCAGGCGGGCAGUUUGACUGGGGCGGUCGCCUCCCAAAUGGUAACGGAGGCGCACAAAGGUUUCCUCUGAACGGGUAGAAAUCGUAUCUAGAGUGUAAAGGCAUAAGGAAGCUUGACUGUGAGACCUACAAGUCGAGCAGGGACGAAAGUCGGUCUUAGUGAUCUGACGGUGCUGAGUGGAAAGGCCGUCACUCAACGGAUAAAAGUUACUCUAGGAUAACAGGCUGAUCUCCCCCAAGAGUUCACAUCGACGGGGAGGUUUGGCACCUCGAUGUCGGCUCAUCGCAUCCUGGGGCGGUAGUACGUCCCAAGGGUUGGGCUGUUCGCCCAUGAAAGCGGUACGCGAGCUGGGUUCAGAACGUCGUGAGACAGUUCGGUCCAUAUCCGGUGUAGGCGUUAGAAUAUUGAGAGGAGCCUUCUUUAGUACGAGAGGACCGAGAAGGACAUACCUCUGGUGUACCAGUUAUCGUGCCAACGGUAAACGCUGGGUAGCUAUGUAUGGAGUGGAUAACCGCUGAAAGCAUCUAAGUGGGAAGCCCACCUCAAGAUAAG
rnacentral:rRNA from 1 species